GACGAACGCUGGCGGCGUGCUUAACACAUGCAAGUCGAACGGAAAGGCCCUGCUUUUGUGGGGUGCUCGAGUGGCGAACGGGUGAGUAACACGUGAGUAACCUGCCCUUGACUUUGGGAUAACUUCAGGAAACUGGGGCUAAUACCGGAUAGGAGCUCCUGCUGCAUGGUGGGGGUUGGAAAGUUUCGGCGGUUGGGGAUGGACUCGCGGCUUAUCAGCUUGUUGGUGGGGUAGUGGCUUACCAAGGCUUUGACGGGUAGCCGGCCUGAGAGGGUGACCGGCGACAUGGGGACUGAGAGAGGCCCCAGACGCCAACGGGAGGCAGAAGGGGGGAAUAUGGAAAAAUGGGGGGAAGCCUGAGACAGAAACGCCGGGUGCGGAAUGACGGCCUUGGGGUGGAAAACCGAUUUGGCCGGUGACGAAGCGGGAGUGACGGUAAUGGGUAAAGAAGCACCGGCUAACUACGUG
rnacentral:rRNA from 1 species